rnacentral:rRNA from 1 species
ACGAACGCUGGCGGCGUGCCUAAUACAUGCGAGUCGAACGAGCUCUCCUAAAUUGAUUUUAUGCUUGCAUAAAUGAUUUUUAGAUUCGGAGCGAGUGGCGAACUGGUGAGUAACACGUGGGUAACCUGCCCCGAAGCGGGGGAUAACAUUUGGAAACAAAUGCUAAUACCGCAUAAUUAGUUGGAACCGCAUGGUUCCAACUUGAAAGAUGGCUCUGCUAUCACUUUGGGAUGGACCCGCGCCGUAUUAGUUAGUUGGUGAGAUAAAAGCCCACCAAGACGAUGAUACGUAGCCGACCUGAGAGGGUAAUCGGCCACAUUGGGACUGAGACACGGCCCAGACUCCUACGGGAGGCAGCAGUAGGGAAUCUUCCACAAUGGACGAAAGUCUGAUGGAGCAACGCCGCGUGAGUGAUGAAGGUUUUCGGAUCGUAAAACUCUGUUGUUAAAGAAGAACAAGUGUUAGAGUAACUGUUAACACUUUGACGGUAUUUAACCAGAAAGCCACGGCUAACUACGUGCCAGCAGCCGCGGUAAUACGUAGGUGGCAAGCGUUGUCCGGAUUUAUUGGGCGUAAAGCGAGCGCAGGCGGUUUUGUAAGUCUGCUGUGAAAGCCCUCAGCUCAACUGAGGAAGUGCAGUGGAAACUACAAAACUUGAGUACAGAAGAGGAAAGUGGAACUCCAUGUGUAGCGGUGAAAUGCGUAGAUAUAUGGGAAGAACACCAGUGGCGAAGGCGGCUUUCUGGUCUGUUACUGACGCUGAGGCUCGAAAGCAUGGGUAGCGAAACAGGAUUAGAUACCCCUGGUAGUCCAUGCCGUAAACGAUGAAUACUAGGUGUUGGAGGGUUUCCGCCCCUUCAGUGCCGCAGCUAACGCAUUAAGUAUUCCGCCUGGGGAGUACGACCGCAAGGUUGAAACUCAAAGGAAUUGACGGGGGCCCGCACAAGUGGUGGAGCAUGUGGUUUAAUUCGAUGCUACGCGAAGAACCUUACCAGCUCUUGACAUCUUCUGCCAACCCAAGAGAUUGGGCGUUCCCUUCGGGGACAGAAUGACAGGUGGUGCAUGGUUGUCGUCAGCUCGUGUCGUGAGAUGUUGGGUUAAGUCCCGCAACGAGCGCAACCCUUAUUAUUAGUUGCCAGCAUUUAGUUGGGCACUCUAGUGAGACUGCCGGUGAUAAACCGGAGGAAGGUGGGGACGACGUCAAAUCAUCAUGCCCCUUAUGAGCUGGGCUACACACGUGCUACAAUGGAUGGUACAACGAGUCGCGAAACCGCGAGGUCAAGCUAAUCUCUUAAAGCCAUUCUCAGUUCGGAUUGCAGGCUGCAACUCGCCUGCAUGAAGUUGGAAUCACUAGUAAUCGUGGAUCAGCAUGCCACGGUGAAUACGUUCCCGGGCCUUGUACACACCGCCCGUCAA